GACGGCAUGGCGUAGUGGUUUGAACAAUGGAUUGUGACCCCAGAGACCAGGGUUCGAGUCCCAGCUCAGCCA